UAUGCUGCAGGGUGUGGCUCCAAAAAGUUAAAAAAAAAAAAAAGUUAUUUUUAUGUCGUCAAAUUUAUCAAUCUUUCCUUUUAUUACUCUUGGAUCAAGUCACAGUUUGAAAGCUUUUCCCUGUAUUCAGGUUAAAAAGGAAUUUAAACAUCUUUUUUUGGUUUCUUUUUCUUUUCUUUUUUUUCAUUUAGAUCUCUGAUCAGGUUUGAGUUUCUUCCUGUGCAUGAAAUGAGACAGGUUGGGCAAUAGGCUGCUAAAGGACGUGCCAGAGAAUCGGUGACUUCAGAGACACAGGAGUGUGUGCCAAGGGAUAGGAUACUCUCUGGGGUAUCCAGUGAAGCUUGCCUUCUCCACCAGGUCCUGGAUCCUGCUCCUACCCAAAGAACCUCCUUUCUAAGAGAAGUUUGAUGUGGAAUCUCAGUUCCCAGACCAGGUAUUGAACCUGGGCCACAGUGGUGAAAGUGCUGAGUCCUAACCACUAGACCGCUGGAGACCUCCCUAUUAAUACCAAGUAUGUAUUGUCAAAGCCAUAGACAAAUAAACAAUCUCACACAAUAUAGGUGGAAGUGUAAAUUAGUUCAAUGUUUUGGAGGAUUAUUUUAUAGUAUUGUAACUUUUAAAUGCACAUGCCCUUUCAUCCAAUAUUUAAAAUUCAAGGAAUUGAUCAUAUAACUUUAUACAUUUAUGAGGGUAUUUACAUGUGUAAAGAUAUGUGAUAGUCAUAAUAGCUUCUAUUUAUUAGUUCCUUACUAUGAGCCAGGUACUGUGCCAAGCAAUUUGUUUUGAUCAUAUUACUUAAAUUUCUCAGUAGCCCUAGAGGCUGGUACUAUUAACAUCUCCAUUUUAUAGAAGAGAAAACCAAGGCGCAAACAAGUAAUUAGCCUAAAAUUACACAGGAGAGACCCAGGAUUUGAACCCAAAGGGUUUAUCUUCAGAACUUUCGCUUCUAAUAAUUCACUAUUCAAUUACAAAUGAUUAAAAUAAAGCUGAAAUAAAUAUAUUUAUAAAUAUGUAUGCACAUAUGUAAAUUUGUUCACAUACGUUUGCAUAUAUUCAUAUAGACAAGUGAAUUAUAUGUACAUAUUCACAUGCACCAUUCAUACAUAUACACAAGAUGUGUACUGCACCUUGUUGGUAAUGGGAAAAUCCUGAAGAACCUAAAUGUUACAAAUAGAGGAACAGCGAAAUAAAUUAUGGUGCCUCCAUAUAAUGGCAUUUCAGGUAACUAUUAAAUGAGAUCACCUUAUGGAAGCCAUGAUACAGAAGAUAUUCAAGACACUCUAAAUUUUAUUUAAUUAAUUAAUUAAUUUAUUUUUUUGGUCUUUUUUCCAGACACACCUGCAUCAUAUGAAAGUUCCUGGGCUAGGGGUCCAAACGG